AAGUCUUUGCUGCUCGGCCAUGUAAACUCUCACUAGAACUCUGCUUUAAAUAGUGACCUGUUAUUUUUUAUGAAUCAUUUGCUUUUUCUAUAUUGUUCUUUCCGUUUAAUACUUAAUGGUUUUGGCAGUGGUAUGAUAAAGGUGUAGAUGUGAGAAGAUUGCCCGUUAUAGAAGAGUGAGGAUAUUUAAUUGUUGAAGAAGUAUAGAUAUACAAGCAUGGUCAGCUAUUAAUUGAACACAAUAUUUUGCUUGUAUUGCUACAUUUAAGAAUGUUUGGAACUAAUAAGGCAUUAUCCUGAUGUAAUUGUGGGUGAUGUCACCCCGCCAUGUCAGAGUAUAGUAAUGUUUGUGGGAUGUUUGAACUGGUUGGAGUAUGGUGCUAUCUCUGCUUUAGAAGAUUAUUUGCUAUGUCAGAAUAGAUUUCCAUUCUUUUCUGCAAUGAUUGCAACCAAAUGCUAUAAACAUGUACCAUGUGAAUCAACAAAGAAAACAUAAAUUAUUUGUACCUGGUAUUCAAUCCCAAUUUUAGCAUGUAUAUGUAUAACUAAAUGUAUUCUUCAAUUUGAUGGUGUUGAACACUACUUAUAUAUUACACAAUGGAUAAGCAUAGAAUGAAGUAAAAAAAGUGUGUGCUGUGAGCUUGACAUGAAGCUCAAAUAAUGGAUGUAGUUUUUCAACUCUGUUCCUUGAUAAAUGUAUGAUAUUUACAAAAUAUUUUAAGCAUUAAUUGCAUGGAAUUUUCCUGUCUUAUUUUCCUAAAGUCUAAAGGAUUACAAAUUUAUUUUUUCUUAUGACUACAUUGUACAAGAUGUAAUGUUUUAGGGUUGUUUUUUUUUUAAUUAUAAACUUAUACAUUAAUACAUGUAUAUGUAUAUAUGCCAUGUGCCUAUGUCAGUAUUUAAUAAUGCUGUAUGUAUGAUGUAUAGAUAACAGAUUAGUAAAAUCAAUAACAUAUAUGACCCAGUCACUCCUCCAAUGGACUGGGAAUCUACUUAAUUAAUACACCAGGCCAGUGGUGUAAUGGAGUUGUGCAUUGCUGGACCAUUCUGUAGCUGAUUCAGGCAAGGAAUGCUCCCAGGACCACUGUUUGGUAGACUAUUUGUUCCCUGACCCUUCCAUGCUCCUAUCCCACAAACAUUUGGGUUUAAAGCUACAUUGAAUACAAACAGAAUUGCUGUGAUUUUUAAUGUUAUGAUGAAUGAAAAAAUAAAAAUAUAAUUCAAUAUC
rnacentral:misc_RNA from 1 species